rnacentral:lncRNA from 1 species
UUUUUUAACAUAGGAUCUCAUAUAGUCCAGGUUGCCCUCAAACCUGUUGUAUGGCCAAGGCUAGCACUGAAUUCCUGCUACACUCUACUCUCUUUCUCUAAGCUCAGACUACCGUACGUACUGCUCUUCCACUCUCUAAACGCCAAGGGCAUUGCCAAGGCCAGCAGUCUCGGGGCCAUGGGCAACUACUAUAACCUGAUCAACAUCUCAGGCUGUAAUCAUCUCCAGUUCAUGGCUGAGGGGGGAGAGCGGGAGCUUUUUCGGGGGACAUUGUAUAAAUCUUUUUUGUGUAAAGAACUAAUAUAAAAUUUAGUUCUUUGAUUUUUAAACAUGUUUUUAAGAUUUUUUUAAUGCUCAUGUAUGAACUACAUGCAUGAACUCUGCACAUUCCUCAUGCUGCUGCUGCUGCCAGAGACCAGAAAGUGG